GCAGCUUGAGAAGGCUGGAGCAAGGAAACAAAGAUCUCUUCAGGCCUCCCCCAGAGACUCCAAGGCAGCCCAGAUGACGCCAGGGCCCCUAAAGAAUGAGGGGGCCACGCCUCUGCCAGGGGUUCCAGUCGAGUAAAGCCAGAGAGGAACCCACUCUACCCAGUAACUGGCAGCAGGGGGAGGCGUUCACACCUCAGAACAUCACUGCAAAACAGACGGCACUGGGUGGCAUCCAGGGAACCUCACCUGCCCUUCUGCCCUUCUGCCUCCCCCCUGCUCACCUCUGCGGACAAGUACACCGGGGCUCUGCCCCACACCCUGGCAGAUCAGCCCCCAGGAGGCGGGGACACCCAGAGAAGCCAAGCCCUGGGUCGCAAGAAAGAUGAAGCCUCCUGAAUCCUGAAACCAAAUGAGACUACGUAUGUCAAGAAGUAAUUUACAGGGGCGUCACUGUGACGUCGGGUUGGAAUUCUGCUCUAUCUUUGGCUGUGGGACCUGGGAGGAGAUUCUAAACCUUUCUGUGCCUCAGUGUUCUCAUCUGUGAAAGGAGGAUGAUGGACAGGAGCCUGACAAGCCGCUCCCAGGCUACAAGCAGCAGGCUGACAGCGUGCAGUUCCUGCCUGCUUCCCGUAAGCUCCGGCCGCCACCGUGCGUGAGGGGGUGCCGAGCGCCCCCGGGGAGGACAACGUUUUGUUACAGAGGCUUACGAUGAUGAAUAUGAUUCUCAACUCUUGCCUUUUGCCAAGCUAUAGCUUUAACACUUAAAGAAGUGGCCUGAGCCUUUCUCAUUUCCCCCAGUAAAUAUAUUGAACAGC